rnacentral:rRNA from 1 species
CCUACGGGAGGCAGCAGUGGGGAAUAUUGGACAAUGGGCGAAAGCCUGAUCCAGCAAUGCCGCGUGAGUGAUGAAGGCCUUCGGGUCGUAAAGCUCUUUUACCAGGGAUGAUAAUGACAGUACCUGGAGAAUAAGCUCCGGCUAACUCCGUGCCAGCAGCCGCGGUAAUACGGAGGGAGCUAGCGCUGUUCGGAAUUACUGGGCGUAAAGAGUACGUAGGCGGUUAUUCAAGUCAGAGGUGAAAGCCCGGGGCUCAACCCCGGAACUGCCUUUGAAACUAGAUAACUAGAGUCUUGGAGAGGUUAGUGGAAUUCCGAGUGUAGAGGUGAAAUUCGUAGAUAUUCGGAAGAACACCAGUGGCGAAGGCGACUAACUGGACAAGUACUGACGCUGAGGUACGAAAGCGUGGGGAGCAAACAGGAUUAGAUACCCUGGUAGUCCACGCCGUAAACGAUGAUAACUAGUUGUUCGGUCACUUGGUGACUGAGUGACGCAGCUAACGCAUUAAGUUAUCCGCCUGGGGAGUACGGUCGCAAGNUUAAAACUCAAAGGAAUUGACGGNNGAGANGCGAGACGACGACGAGGAGAG